CGACAAUUCCUGGCAAAACCGGAAACCAAGGACUACUUUAUGAGCACACACUUUUGGGGGCCAAUGUGCAAUUGGAUGAUACCAAUUGCUGCAAUAAUGGACACCCAAAAAGAUCCGAAAUUCAUCAGUGGAAAAAUGACUCUCUUACAUUUUACUCAUUGGUAUUUCUGAGGUUUUCCGUAAAAGUAAGGCCCACGAAUAUGUUGCUUUUUGCGUGUCACGCCGUCAACUUGAGCGCACAACUUACGCAAGGCUACAGAUUGCUCAGAUACCGACAUUCU